UUACGGCCACAUCACGUUGAAACACCGGUUUUCGUUUGAUCACCGAAGUUAAGCAAUGUCAGUACCAAGAUGGGUGACCAUUUGGGAAUACCAGGGAAUGU